AGCCCACCAGUGGGAAGCUUUUACACUUCAAUCAUAUUCAGUUUUCUUCAUGAAACCAUACUUGGAGCUCUUGGCUGUUGUGGUCAUAUUUAGUACUUUAAAGAGUAUAUAAAACAGAGCAUGUGUGUACAAAGUGGAGGCAGGGAACAGACAGGACCAUUCAGAUCAGGAUCAGUACUUUAAAUUCAUUAAAGUUACAUAGGCUAAGUUGAGUACAGCGCUCUUGUUCUCCUUCCAGUAUUAUUCGAAUGGUGGUGAUUGGCUAUACAUUUUAGCCUGGUAUUGCUUAUAGAAAUACAUUUUAUAUAGUUCUUUUUUUUUUUUUUUCAGUGUUAUGGGCUUGUACAUGUGCAGUUCCACUAUUUACAGGCCAGCGUUUUAAAUCCUUGCUAUUUCAGGUGAAGGCAGGGAGACCCGGAAAGAGCAGGGGUGGCAGGGAGGGAGGAAGGAAAGGAAAGUACAACACUGCUUCACCAUCUGGGAGGGUGGGGCUGGGGCUCCCCUGGUGUUGUGGUGCUGGGGCUCAAACUCCAGAUCAUUUUAAAAGCCAAUGAUAUGGUCCCAGAGGUGGCAUAAUCGAUUUUUUUUUUAAAGAAAGUAUUUAUGUAUUCCCUUUGUUGUAGUUAUUGUUGUUGUCAUUGUUGGAUAGGACAGAGAGAAAUGGAGAGAGGAGGGGAAGACAGAGGUGGGGAGAGAAAGAGAGACACCUGCAGACCUGCCUCACCUCCUGUAAAGCGACUCCCCUGCAGGUGGGGAGCCGGGGCUCAAACCGGGAUCUUUAUGCCGGUCCUUGAGCUUUGCGCCACAUGCACUUAACCCGCUGUGCUACCGCCCGACUCCCCUGGCAUAAUAGAUUAAAGCAUUGCAUUCUCAAGCAUGAGCUCCCUGGUUUGAUCCCCAGCAUCACCUAUGCCAGAAUGGUGUUCUGGCUCUUUCUCUUCCCCUCCUGUUCUCAUCAACAUAGAAACAGAUCUAAAAAAUAAAAAAGAAAUAAAACUAACAAAAUAUACAUAUAUAGGGACAUAAAUACUAUUGAAACAAACAUUUUAGUAAGCAACAUUGUUCUUGCUAUGACCUGUUAUAUUCUAAUUCUCUUUUUUCAAUGCUAGUCACAGGACCACUCAACUGAUUAUUUUUAGAGAUUAAUUUUCAUUCACUGAUAUGAAACAAAGUUUCACAUGAGCAAGGUAGAGCACCACACUUGUUACACUGGGCAUUGAACCAGUAAAUAAGCAGAAAUUCCGAAUGUGAACUAUAGGUAGAAAACUAAAGGUUACUUGAGAAGUUAUUUUUCAAUAAAAAGUUUUAAAACACUGGCUUAACAUAGUUAUAAAAAGAACCUCUGGAUUUGGUGAUUCGUUUCUCGUCAAGCAACAUUGUUAAUCAUGUUAAUUUAUACACUAACAAAAAUAUUGUAUAUGGGAAGCAUUUUAUGGUUGUAUCUUGGGGCAGGGGAGAAGUAAGUAUACCUACUAAAACAUUCUAAUUGACCAAAUCACCAAAGCCCAACUGUCCUAUUUUAAAUUUCCAUGUGAAAUUCUGUUUGUGAAAAUGAGACUGUAUAAUAGAUACUUCAUAUCUAGACAGUUGUUUUUGCAGAACUCAGGACUCUCAUCUAUGAGAAGAGUGUGAUCUAAGCAGGUGCACCUCUUAUCCUGAAUAGGCCAAGAAAAGCAGUAAAGAUGUUUCUAAUGGA